rnacentral:rRNA from 1 species
UUCAGAUUGCAGGCUGCAACUCGCCUGCAUGAAGUCGGAAUCGCUAGUAAUCGCGGAUCAGCAUGCCGCGGUGAAUACGUUCCCGGGCCUUGUACACACCGCCCGUCACACCAUGAGAGUCGGGAACACCCGAAGUCCGUAGCCUAACCGCAAGGAGGGCGCGGCCGAAGGUGGGUUCGAUAAUUGGGGUGAAGUCGUAACAAGGUAGC